rnacentral:rRNA from 1 species
GAUGAACGCUGGCGGCGUGCCUAAUACAUGCAAGUCGAGCGAACAGAUAAGGAGCUUGCUCCUUUGACGUUAGCGGCGGACGGGUGAGUAACACGUGGGUAACCUACCUAUAAGACUGGAAUAACUCCGGGAAACCGGGGCUAAUGCCGGAUAACAUUUAGAACCGCAUGGUUCUAAAGUGAAAGAUGGUUUUGCUAUCACUUAUAGAUGGACCCGCGCCGUAUUAGCUAGUUGGUAAGGUAACGGCUUACCAAGGCAACGAUACGUAGCCGACCUGAGAGGGUGAUCGGCCACACUGGAACUGAGACACGGUCCAGACUCCUACGGGAGGCAGCAGUAGGGAAUCUUCCGCAAUGGGCGAAAGCCUGACGGAGCAGCGCCGCGUGAGUGAUGAAGGUCUUCGGAUCGUAAAACUCUGUUAUUAGGGAAGAACAAAUGUGUAAGUAACUGUGCACGUCUUGACGGUACCUAAUCAGAAAGCCACGGCUAACUACGUG